UGCUUUAUCUCAUUUUCAAUUGAUAAAUCAAGCAAUUGUCUCAGCUAAAAAACUUGGAUUUAUUAAGAAAAUUCCUUCUAUUAUAAUGGAAUAUAUAUCGGCCGAAUACGCCGUGUUGAAAGGAUUUAUUCGGUUUUCCACUUCAGAGAAUCCUGGUUCGAUUCUCGGAUCCCACCUUUUAGAAAUAUUUAUUAUGAGGGCUGAGCCUGGCCCAUCGAUCACCUUCCUCCGCAAUCUACCUGGGCCCUUCAUGGAAAUGGGAAGACUGAGAAAGAGAUUGUUUCAUCCGCCACUGAGUUCUCUAUCUGAGUGUAAUGUGGCGACAUCUUUUACCAAACUGAUGUAAUGAUUCGGGCUAAUUCGAAAAUAAAUUUUUUGGGCUUAUUUUUUGAUGAUUCAAGGUAAAUUUUAUAAACGAUGAGUUCAGAAAAUGCUCCGAGAAGAGUUCAGGAAAUUGAAUUUCCGAUGAGUUCAGAAAAUUUUCCGUUCCCGGAAAAUUUUCUGAAUUCACCGAAAGUUGAAUAAUAAUAAAGCAAAUAUCAAGAAAAUUACUAUACAGUAUUCCUAUUAAAUUAUAAAAGAAAGCUAAUAGUAUAGUAUAUUUUUUGAUUUUAUUUGAUAUUCAUGCAUAUUUCAAAAUCACAAAAUCAAAAUCUAUUAGUAGUAAGAUUCCACUCUGGGAGUGUCUCGAUGGGAGUGGGGGUGGCGUCGCGGAGGUGACGUCGUGUGGGUUGGUGGACUGGGUGGGGCGUCGUGGGGU
rnacentral:lncRNA from 1 species